UACGUAGGGUGCGAGCGUUAAUCGGAAUUACUGGGCGUAAAGCGUGCGCAGGCGGUUUUGUAAGCCAGAUGUGAAAUCCCCGGGCUUAACCUGGGAAUGGCAUUUGGGACUGCAAGGCUGGAGUGCGGCAGAGGAGACUGGAAUUCCUGGUGUAGCAGUGAAAUGCGUAGAUAUCCUAAGGAACACCGGUGGCGAAAGCGGCGUACUGGGUCUUAUCUGACGCUGAGGCACGAAAGCUAGGGUAGCGAACGGG
rnacentral:rRNA from 1 species